rnacentral:rRNA from 1 species
GGCGAACGCUGGCGGCGUGCCUAAUACAUGCAAGUAGAACGCACAGUUUAUACCGUAGCUUGCUACACCAUAAACUGUGAGUUGCGAACGGGUGAGUAACGCGUAGGUAACCUGCCUGGUAGCGGGGGAUAACUAUUGGAAACGAUAGCUAAUACCGCAUAAUAUUGAUUAUUGCAUGAUAAUUGAUUGAAAGAUGCUAUUGCAUCACUACCAGAUGGACCUGCGUUGUAUUAGCUAGUAGGUGAGGUAACGGCUCACCUAGGCGACGAUACAUAGCCGACCUGAGAGGGUGAUCGGCCACACUGGGACUGAGACACGGCCCAGACUCCUACGGGAGGCAGCAGUAGGGAAUCUUCGGCAAUGGACGAAAGUCUGACCGAGCAACGCCGCGUGAGUGAAGAAGGGUUUCGGAUCGUAAAGCUCUGUUGUAAGAGAAGAACGGGUGUGAGAGUGGAAAAUUCACACUGUGACGGUAUCUUACCAGAAAGGGACGGCUAACUACGUG